GGGCCCGCACAAGCGGUGGAGCAUGUGGUUUAAUUCGACGCAACGCGCAGAACCUUACCAGGCCUUGACAUCCUGUGCUCGCCGGAGAGAUCCGGUUUCCCCGCAAGGGGCGCAGAGACAGGUGCUGCAUGGCUGUCGUCAGCUCGUGUCGUGAGAUGUUGGGUUAAGUCCCGCAACGAGCGCAACCCUCGCCUUUAGUUGCCAUCAUUCAGUUGGGCACUCUAAAGGGACCGCCGGCGACAAGCCGGAGGAAGGUGGGGAUGACGUCAAGUCCUCAUGGCCCUUACGGCCUGGGCUACACACGUGCUACAAUGGCGGUGACAAUGGGCAGCUAGUCCGCGAGGCCAAGCUAAUCCCAAAAAACCGCCCCAGUUCAGAUUGCACUCUGCAACUCGGGUGCAUGAAGGUGGAAUCGCUAGUAAUCGCAGAACAGCAGGCUGCGGUGAAUACGUUCCCGGGCCUU
rnacentral:rRNA from 1 species